rnacentral:lncRNA from 11 species
CACGCUCGGAAGGCCAUCAUACUCGGACAACGAGGGAUUACCUAAAUCAAGAGGCUAAUUCAUACUAUACACAACGUAAUUAAAAUAUGAGAGGAAAGAAAAAAUACAGAAGGAAACUGCAAGAGAAGAUAUGAAUAAAGAUUCU